rnacentral:rRNA from 1 species
GUGAGGGAUAUUGCGCAAUGGGCGGAAGCCUGACGCAGCAACGCCGCGUGCGGGAGGACAGCCUUCGGGUUGUAAACCGCUUUUCGGGGGGAAGAGGCAGGACGGUACCCUCGGAAGAAGUCUCGGCUAACUACGUGCCAGCAGCCGCGGUAAAACGUAGGAGGCAAGCGUUAUCCGGAUUUACUGGGUGUAAAGGGCGCGCAGGCGGUACCGCAAGUCGGGUGUGAAAGCGCCCAGGCUCAACCGGGCGAGGCGGCUCGAAACUGCGGGACUGGAGACAGGCAGAGGCGGGUGGAAUUCCGGGUGUAGUGGUGAAAUGCGUAGAGAUCCGGAGGAACACCAGUGGCGAAGGCGGCCCGCUGGGCCUGGACUGACGCUCAGGCGCGACAGCAUGGGGAGCGAACGGGAUUAGAAACCCGAGUAGUCC